UUUACAUCCGAAGGCGAAAUGAAAGUGAGCCCGGAGCUACGGGCAGGCCGAUCCCCUGUCGGCGUUGGUCUGGCGGCCUGGCAGCAGCUUUUUUUUAGAUGAGAGAGUCUUUGCUGCCUGUGCUGCUGGUACUGGCGUCGGCGGCCGGUCCUGUAAAAGGGAUCGGAGAUGGGGCGCAGGCCGAGGACUUGCCAUAGUGCGGCGCGGGCAACGGGGUCCUAGUGGCUCUUAUCCCGACGUCCGUCGGCAAGUACCUGAGAGCGCCACCGUUGGGACCCGAAAGAUGGUGAACUAUGCCUGGCAAGGACGAAGCCAGAGGAAACUCUGGUGGAGGUCCGAAGCAGUUCUGACGUGCAAAUCGAUUGUCAGAGCUGGGUAUAGGGGCG
rnacentral:rRNA from 1 species